rnacentral:rRNA from 1 species
CAAUAGCGUAUAUUAAAGUUGUUGCAGUUAAAAAGCUCGUAGUUGGAUUUGUGGCGUACGGUGUGUUCCGGGCACUUGUUGUCUGAGUAACCUGCUGUUGCCAUCCUUGGGUGGAACCUGUGUGGCAUUAGGUUGUCGUGCAGGGGAUGCCCAUCAUUUACUGUGAAAAAAGUAGAGUGUUCAAAGCAGGCUUAUGCCGUUGAAUAUAUUAGCAUGGAAUAAUGAGAUAGGACUUUUUUGCUAUUUUGUUGGUUUGCGCAAGAAGGUAAUGAUUAAUAGGGACAGUUGGGGGUAUUCGUAUUCCAUUGUCAGAGGUGAAAUUCUUGGAUUUUUGGAAGACGAACUACUGCGAAAGCAUUUACCAAGGAUGUUUUCAUUAA